CCCAGUGACAAGUUCAACGGCCGCGGUACCCUAACCGUGCGAAGGUAGCAUAAUCACUUGUUCUUUAAAUGAGGACUAGUAUCAACGGCAUCACGAGGGUUAAACUGUCUCCUUUCUCUAAUCAGUGAAACUGAUCUUCCCGUGAAGAAGCGGGAAUUAUUUUAUAAGACGAGAAGACCCCAUGGAGCUUUAAACCCACUUACACUCCUAUUUUCUACUCCCUAAUAGACCCAGGACUCUGUAUAUCUGGUUUUAGGUUGGGGUGACCGCGGAGCAUAACUAAGCCUCCACGAUGAAUGGAGAAACCCCCUUAUCCAAGAACUACAUCUCUAAGAAUUAGUAUUCUAACAUCAAAUGAUCCGAUAUUCGAUCAACGAACCAAGUUACCCUGGGGAUAACAGCGCAAUCCACUUCAAGAGCCCCUAUCGACAAGUGGGUUUACGACCUCGAUGUUGGAUCAGGGUAUCCCAGUGGUGCAGCAGUUACUAAAGGUUCGUUUGUUCAACGAUUAAAACCC
rnacentral:rRNA from 1 species